rnacentral:rRNA from 1 species
CCAUGCAAGUCGAGCGGUAACAGAGAGAAGCUUGCUUCUCUGCUGACGAGCGGCGGACGGGUGAGUAAUGCCUAGGAAUCUGCCUGGUAGUGGGGGAUAACGUUCGGAAACGGACGCUAAUACCGCAUACGUCCUACGGGAGAAAGCAGGGGACCUUCGGGCCUUGCGCUAUCAGAUGAGCCUAGGUCGGAUUAGCUAGUUGGUGAGGUAAUGGCUCACCAAGGCGACGACCCGUAACUGGUCUGAGAGGAUGAUCAGUCACACUGGAACUGAGACACGGUCCAGACUCCUACGGGAGGCAGCAGUGGGGAAUAUUGGACAAUGGGCGAAAGCCUGAUCCAGCCAUGCCGCGUGUGUGAAGAAGGUCUUCGGAUUGUAAAGCACUUUAAGUUGGGAGGAAGGGCAGUUACCUAAUACGUGAUUGUUUUGACGUUACCGACAGAAUAAGCACCGGCUAACUCUGUGCCAGCAGCCGCGGUAAUACAGAGGGUGCAAGCGUUAAUCGGAAUUACUGGGCGUAAAGCGCGCGUAGGUGGUUAGUUAAGUUGGAUGUGAAAUCCCCGGGCUCAACCUGGGAACUGCAUUCAAAACUGACUGACUAGAGUAUGGUAGAGGGUGGUGGAAUUUCCUGUGUAGCGGUGAAAUGCGUAGAUAUAGGAAGGAACACCAGUGGCGAAGGCGACCACCUGGACUGAUACUGACACUGAGGUGCGAAAGCGUGCGGAGCAAACAGGAUUAGAUACCCUGGUAGUCCACGCCGUAAACGAUGUCAACUAGCCG